UGCCAGCCGCCGCGGUAAUACGGAGGGUGCAAACGUUGUUCGGAAUCACUGGGCAUAAAGCGCACGUAGGCGGUCCGCUCAGUCGGGUGUGAAAGCCCUCGGCUCAACCGGGGAAUAGCAUUCGAUACUGGCGGACUCGAGGAUGGUUGGGGUGAGUGGAACUCCUGGUGGAGCGGUGAAAUGCGUAGAUAUCAGGAGGAACACCAGUGGCGAAGGCGACUUCCUGGGCCAAUACUGACGCUGAGGUGCGAAAGCGUGGGGAGCAAACAGGAUUAGAUA
rnacentral:rRNA from 1 species